rnacentral:rRNA from 1 species
AGUCGGAAUCCGCUAAGGAGUGUGUAACAACUCACCUACCGAAUGGACUAGCCCUGAAAAUGGAUGUCGCUAAGCAGUUAGCCGAUACCUCUCCGUCUGGCUCUAGGUAACCAGGCGAGUAGGAGGGCGUGAGGAUAGCGUGGAAGUGUGAAUGUGAAUUCACAUGGAGCUGUUCUUAGUGCAGAUCUUGGUGAUAGUAGCAGCUAUUCAAGAAAGACCCUUGAAGACUGAAGUGGAGAAGGGUUUCAUGAGAACAACACUUGGUCAUGAGUGACUCGGUCCUAAGGUGAUUAUAGCCGAAAGGGAAAAAGGUUAAAAUUCCUUUAGCUAGCAGUGGGUCUUGUGUGGUAACACAACUGAGCUCAGAGACGUCGGAGUGGAACCCCAGGGAGAGUUCUCUUUUCUUCUUAACAAGUCGCCGCCCUGGAGGUCGUUGUGACGAGAGAGGGCCAUAGACUUGGCAGAGCAGUGCACCCUUUGCGCUGUCUGGUGCGUUUCCUUCGACCCUUGAAAAUCUGAGGGAACUUUGAUCGCUUGCUAGGCCGUACCCACAACCGCAUCAGGUCUCCAAGGUUAGCAGCCUCUAGUGCUUAGAAUAAUGUAGGUAAGGGAAUUCGGCAAAUUCGAUCUGUAACUUCGGGAUAAAGAUUGGCUCUGAGGGUCAGGCUGUAAGCGCUGAGAAGCGGCCAGGCUCCCUCGUGGACGCCGGCUGCGCUCGGCAGUCUUGCAGCAGCGAAUGACUAACUCAGAACUGGAGCAGCGAGGGGAAUCCGACUGUUUAAUUAAAACAGAGCAUUGUGAUGGCCCCGGGGGUGUUGACACAAUGUGAUUUCUGCCCAGUGCUCUGAAUGUCAAAGUGAUGAAAUUCAAACAAGCGCGGGUAAACGGCGGGAGUAACUAUGAC